rfam:Schistosoma mansoni strain Puerto Rico chromosome 6, complete genome
AUCCAGCUGACCAGUCCCAAAUACAACGAAACGCGCGUCAAACUGGAU